UUGCGCGGAGACCGCAGCUGUUCCCUGUCAGUGGAGGCAGCGGCGGUAGAGGCGGUGGCGGCAACUUGCGGCAGCAGCGAGGAGAUGGAGAACCUGAGGGCACGGAGCCCUCAAAUGCCUCGCGCGAGGUCCCUGAGGGCUCGAACCCAAGUCUGUCAGAAUCCGGAGCCCAAGUGUCCCCCACCAUACUGGAAGUUGCUCAGCUCUGAAGACAGCCAUGGUGGAUUCUUAACCAUUGCGAUAGCGCCACCAGGGAAGCCUGAGUUGUGAGCCUCUUGAUUCCACGGCGGCCAGCAGUCAAGAAGCAGUGAUUGGAUUUGAGCAGCCAAGGUUUUAUGAUGAAGUACAGGUGAGUUUUAAGUAACUGGACCCUGGCAGAGGAAGGCUGAGGAAGGUGGAAGGAGAACGUGGAGGAGAUAGCACUUCCCAGUUGAGUGUGAGAAGUUUGGUUGGUCAUCUCGCAGAGGCCUCUGCAGGAGGCGUUUAUAAGGUGAGGGCACUUGCUAAGGUGCGGGUGAGUCAGAAGUGAGAUUGGGUCCAGAGGCGCCGGGGUGCUUGGUUGGGCUCUGAGGGCCCAGCAGCAGCGGGCCUGAGCUACAGUCUGUUCUGUUUGUGUUCUAGUAAGCAACCUAUGAGCACGUGUCCUUGUGAGAAGUUUCUUAGUGGCUGCUCUGCCCUGCAGAAAAGGGCUUUGUUCACUAUAGCUGCGCGGUACCUAUUGGUUGAAUUGAAUUAGGCUGCCAUUCAGAAUUUCUACAGUUUACCCCGAAGUCCCCUCUGCUCCUUAUCUCUUUAUCUUUCUCUACUGAAGCCUGUCCCAGCUUGACUGACUGUCUCCGUGCCAGUUCUCACCUCCAAGAUCAUCCCUCAGAGGGGUUUGCCUUGAUGUUGUAACCCCGGUGGAUCCCUCCUGCCUUUGAGGUGCUAGUACAGGUGGCUUAUCUUUUUUUUUUUUUAAAUCCUCUGCCUUGUUUUCCCUUUGUCUCACUUCCAGUGCCCUGGGUGCUGUGCUAGGUCCCUGUCCUGACACUGUUUGCAGAGGCGUGGGGCACUGGGGCACAGCAGGACUGCAGAUCCAGGUCUCAUUCCAAGUCACAGCACAUUCAGGGGCUGCAGGGAUGAUUGUCAUAUGUCAGAGGAUCUGGGCGGAAGGCCUGGGCAGGCCCCAGACUGUGCAGAUCUCUCCCUGGCACUUUCCCGCGUGAGCUGGAGACCUCAGGCCGGUAAACAUUCCCCGUGAGGACUAGUGUGGGCCUUCUCUCUGGCUCCCUCCCAGUAGCAUCUUACUGUGUUCUGAACAGGGCCCUCCUCCCCCCAUCCAGAAGGUGUGCCUGUUUGGGGGCAAGUUUCUCUUCCAGACACAUCGUUCACAGAAGUGGGGCAUUUGCCUGCUCUCUCUGAAGCCUCACCUGGGCCUGCCUGACCAUCUCUUCCCUUCCCUCUGUGUCUUAGCUGCCUCUUGUCUCAGCUGUGGAUACUUUGCCAAACUGUCAAAGGAGUAGGGCCUGACAGUGGAAGCUGGGACAGUGACGAAAAGAGGAAACCGUUUCCUCUUUCUUACUGAAUGAAAAGAUAGGCUCCCACCUGUUGGGCUUUUUCUUCUCUUUGACCCCACAGGUACCCUCUUCUGCCUCAGCCUCAUCUGAGACUACUGGCUGUUACCCCGAAACUCACUUCUUUGUGUCCUUCUUCUGAUCUUGUUCCUGACGAUCUUGACUCUGCAGGACUUUUCCUCUUCUCUCGUCCUGUCGAAAUUACUCUUCAGGCUUUCCUGCAAUAAGCCUUGCUGGAUCUAUUGAGCUGGACGUGGGUUCUCUCUUUUAAUAAUAAUGAUGAUAA